AUGAAUGCUGGCGGCGUGCCUAACACAUGCAAGUCGAGCGGUAACAGGUCUAGUUUACUAGACGCUGACGAGCGGCGGACGGCUGAGUAACGCGUGGGAACAUACCCCAAAGUGAGGGAUAAGCAUCGGAAACGGUGUCUAAUACCGCAUAUGAUCUUCGGAUUAAAGGAUUUAUCCGCUUUGGGAGUGGCCUGCGUACGAUUAGAUAGUUGGUGAGGUAAAGGCUCACCAAGUCGACGAUCGUUAACUGUUCUGAGAGGAUGAUCAGUCAGACUGGAACUGAGACACGGUCCAGACUCCUACGGGAGGCAGCAGUGAGGAAUCUUCCACAAUGGGCGAAAGCCUGAUGGAGCAACGCCGCGUGCAGGAUGAAGGCCUUCGGGUUGUAAACUGCUUUUAUAAGUGAAGAAUAUGACGGUAACUUAUGAAUAAGCACCGGCUAACUACGU
rnacentral:rRNA from 1 species